rnacentral:rRNA from 2 species
UCGAGCGAAUCUUGAGGUGCUUGCACCUCUUGGUUAGCGGCGGACGGGUGAGUAACACGUGGGCAACCUGCCUGUAAGACUGGGAUAACUUCGGGAAACCGGAGCUAAUACCGGAUAAUCCUUUUCCUCUCAUGAGGAAAAGCUGAAAGUCGGUUUACGCUGACUCUUACAGAUGGGCCCGCGGCGCAUUAGCUAGUUGGUGAGGUAACGGCUCACCAAGGCGACGAUGCGUAGCCGACCUGAGAGGGUGAUCGGCCACACUGGGACUGAGACACGGCCCAGACUCCUACGGGAGGCAGCAGUAGGGAAUCUUCCGCAAUGGACGAAAGUCUGACGGAGCAACGCCGCGUGAGCGAUGAAGGCCUUCGGGUCGUAAAGCUCUGUUGUUAGGGAAGAACAAGUACCGGAGUAACUGCCGGUACCUUGACGGUACCUAACCAGAAAGCCACGGCUAACUACGUGCCAGCAGCCGCGGUAAUACGUAGGUGGCAAGCGUUGUCCGGAAUUAUUGGGCGUAAAGCGCGCGCAGGCGGUCCUUUAAGUCUGAUGUGAAAGCCCACGGCUCAACCGUGGAGGGUCAUUGGAAACUGGGGGAAUUGA